rnacentral:tRNA from 1 species
GGGGAAUUAGCUCAGUUGGUAGAGCGCUCGCUUUGCAUGCGAGAGGUAACGGGAUCGAGACCGGGUUUCUCCA